rnacentral:tRNA from 3 species
CCCCUCGUAGUUCAAUGGACAGAAUAAAGGACUUCUAAUCCUUUGAUGAGGGUUCGAUUCCUUCCGAGGGGA